UGAGGAAUAUUGGUCAAUGGGCGGGAGCCUGAACCAGCCAAGCCGCGUGAGGGAAGAAGGCCCUAUGGGUCGUAAACCUCUUUUGUCAGGGAACAAAAGCGAGUAUGUAUACUAGUCUGAGUGUACCUGAAGAAAAAGGCAUCGGCUAACUCCGUGCCAGCAGCCGCGGUAAUACGGAGGAUGCGAGCGUUAUCCGGAUUUAUUGGGUUUAAAGGGUGCGUAGGCGGCGAUGCAAGUCAGCGGUAAAAGCCCGGGGCUCAACCCCGGCGAGCCGUUGAAACUGCAGUGCUAGAGAAGGCGAGAGGUACGCGGAAUGCGCAGUGUAGCGGUGAAAUGCUUAGAUAUUGCGCAGAACUCCGAUUGCGAAGGCAGCGUACUGGCGCCUGACUGACGCUGUGGCACGAAAGCGUGGGGGAUCGAACAGGAUUAGAUACC
rnacentral:rRNA from 1 species